GGGAGCAGUCCCUGGGAAACGGUGCUCAAGUAGGAGCCUAUACUCCAGCUAGGCAGAGCUGAGUGUGCCAGGCAGGACAGACGCCUACAAAGCUGCAGCUGGCCUGAGAAAGCAGCUGUAGGGAGACGGUUGCCUUUAUCCAUUUUAGGAGGUCUCUGAAUAUAAAAAACAAGAACGAUACUAAUGUGAUCAUUACCUUUGAUGUACUCCAUUAGCUUCUCUCUGUUCAGCUUCCAUGCUGCACCACAGCAUUGUUUGAAAGAGCCGCACGCUAUACUUGGUGGAGACCCCAUCACCACCCGAACACCAUUGUGGAUACCUCUGAGGACCCAUCACCACCCGAACACCAUUGUGGAUACCUCUGAGGACCAUGAGCCACAGGCCCCUGGCAUGAGGAGAAGGUGAAGGAGGAAAAAGAGAAGGAUGGGGGACAUGCAACUGGUGUGAUGGCAAUGAAAACUCGUGUGUGUCUCUGCAUCUCUGAAGCCUUGAGGGGUGAGCUCCCCCUUCAUACUCUUGGAAUACCUUAGCCAGAUACAGAGGAGAAAGAAAAGACCUGGGAUGAUUUGCUCAAUGAGAUCCUGCAAACCUCUGCUGCAUCAAGCUAUAAGCAAAUGUCCAAAUGGCAAAUGUUGAAGGCAGCCUGGAGAAGGGACUUUCUCCUGUCCACUCUUUCCAGCAGAAAAAAGAAAGGGAUGCACCAGGAUGUAAUGUGGCUUCUCUGGCAGCAAACACAGAUGCUGCAGGCUCUUAUGGACAUAUAGGUUCAACAAUCCAGGGCUCACUUCUCUUUGAAGUCCAUGGAGCACUCCAUUACAGAACCUCCUUAUACCAGCCCCAUCAACAUCCCAUGUGGCUGCCUCCUUACCCCUAGUACUCCACCCCAGGGGAAAUUAAGACAACCACAGCUUCACAUACGGAAACUGCAGUUUUCACAGGUCAGCGUAUCAGAGACUAACUGCUGCUACUCUGAAACCUGCUGCUACUCUGACACCUAAUGAAGUAACCUGAGUGAUUAACUGGAAUUUUUUGGAUCCAAGAGAACGGAAUGAAGUUUUCUCCAAGAACUGGAUCAGGUGUUCUGGAUAUACUGAGUAGAAAAAGGUCUUGGAGAGAAUCUCAACAAACCCCAGAACUAGAAGGCCUAGAGGUGGAGGUCUCUACUGCUUAUACUAGGGAGAAGGGGAAAAUCUAGCUCUUAUCUUAAUUUGCAUGAAUUACGAUGUUUACCCCUAAUUCCACCCACUGAGUUGUGUUGCUUUGGUUGGAAUUUGUCUUUGAUGUUUAUAAUUGUACCCAUCAAACAUAUUAGCUGUAGUUAUUUAUUCAUGGAAAGGCAUAGGAAUUGUGCAGGAUAUGCCCUGGUGAGGGGUGACCCUGACAUUGCAAGAAACUGACUCUGGUUGGGUAAUGAAGCUCAGUUCUCAGCAGAAAAAGGGGAGAGAGACCACCUUGCAGAGUGAACCUGGACUUUAUUUUUGACAUCUGGCAAAAGGGUUCCACUAGUCUAGAUUGGAUUUGAACUGCCAUCUUGGGGCAAAAGUCUCUGUACUCUAUUCCAUUACCAAUUCCUUGUGCCAAGAAAUCCUCUACCUUUUGAAAUUAUUGUAACUUUAAAAACUGAUUGAGGUUUUUUUUUUAUAUGGAAAGAAGAAUGAAAAGUUCACAGCGUGCUCAGACUGUUUGCACUGAAAAAACCUCUUUAAUUCCCUAUCAGUAUUUUAGAAAAAGUGAAAGGCCAGUGUACUUUCUCACACACUGCUGACUCUGCCAUUUUUCAUGCUUUGUUCAAGAGCAAACAUCCUGCCUUGCACACUGGGGCAAGGAUCAAAGGCCACAGAAUAUACAAUUUCAGUUGUAGUUUAUCUAAGAAUUAUCUAUCACUUGGCUAUCUGUCCACAGUUUUGUAACUGAAUUGUUCAUAACUGGCCUCCGCUCUUUGUGUUCAAAGUGAUGGUGUAAUUAUAGUACUGGGCAAAACUAUGCCAUUUCAUAGUGGGCAGAUAUAUUUUUUCAUAGUUUCUCAUAGGUCAGAAAUGCCUAAAUAAUGCUUAUUUGCUAUUUAAGUUUUUUUUUUAACUUGUUUAAAAUUUGUUGUCACUAAAUUUUCAGAAGUGAAUGGGAUGUUAGUUACUCAAUAUUACUUGUACUUUUCUAAUUCCCCUUGUUGUAUGGUAAAUGUUUGCACUAAUAUGUACUGUUAAGAUUAAUCUGACAAAUAGAAAAUACUAUUUUUGGAAUUAUUUUCUAAUGAUGCACUAUAGUUUGCUCAAUCACCAUCUUCCUUAAUUUUUAGGUUUUUUACUCCAUCCUAGGAAUGGUUUUAAUGGGCAAUAUUGGUUUUGUAGUACAAGACAAGGACAUCUACUAAACCUAGUAAUGGAUUUAUGCCUUCAUCCAGCUCCCAUUGAAUCUGAAAAGAGUUCUUCCAUUGAUUUAGCUGGGCACUAGAUUAGAGCCCUUCGAAAAGGCCACAAUGUGUAGUAUAGAAGGCUAAUAAUACAAUACUGACAUAGGUGAUUCAGGUAGCUAUGCCUAUAGUUAAGGUUGCCCAACAUUUCCAUUAUAAGUCCCUGUUUUCAGUUGCUUAGAACUACCGGAUUUAAAGCAUUCAGACUAAUAGAUUUACUGGAGCUGCAAUAACUUGUAAACCAUUUUUACUAGUUUCCUUCCUUCGAGCACACUAUUGCCUGUUUCUAAGCAUUGCCCUCAGCUAAUAUCUUCAGUAUCACUUUUCAGUGCAGUCUGGGAAUUCAGGUGCAGGAGAGGCUCGGCUUGUAAUAUCUGCAGAGACUGAGUAUAAUACAAGUAAUUCUCAUUCUUGACUGGCAGCUUAGAAUGAGAAUUAAAAACAAAACAGGAAACCAUUAAAACUAUCAUAAAACAUAUGGUUUAAUCUUAUAUAAUUGAAACUAUCAACCUAAUCUCCUCUUUCACCUUGGAGUUCAAAUGACAAAUGUCUGCCUCUUAAAACAAAUGAGUUUUCUUCCAUUUCCUUGAAUUGUCAGUAGGGAAAUACAUUCCCUGGGUGAAUGCAGCCUUUGAAGACAUGACUCAGAACAGUUUUCUGCUUUACUGUGAUGCUGUGGCACUUUAAGGUUCUAAUCCUGCAAUGUGUGGAGCUCCCUCAAUUUCAACUGAAGUUAGGGUCAGACUCCAAGGGAGCCAGAUGGAGACACACAUGGUCCUGAAUCUUCUGUUGAUGCUUCUAGAGUAACUCCAUCAAAAUCAGUUUUACCUGGUUGUCACUUUGCUGGUGUAACUCAGAGAAUGGAGCCCUAUGUUUUUGGACGAGUAUUACUAAAUUAAAAAGAUGUUUUGAAAAAUCAUACAAUGUAUUGUUCUGUUCACUAAACAUGAUUUUUCUAGAUUUGGAGAAAGUUUCCGAAGCUGAAACCUCCUCUAUUCUUCUCUUUUUGAAAUGUUCUAAUAUCAUAGCAGAUAGCAUUCUAGGAAAGGUGUGGUCUAAAAUGCCCUCUCCUCUGCUGAGGUGCAUCAAAGACCAAUUACAAAGACUAUCUCAAAGGAGAUCACUGCUAAACCCAAUCACAAUCAAACAGUUAUUUUGAGCAGUCAAGUUCUGCUCCCAUGUAAUUAAAGGUCAGCAUAAAUUGUUAUUAGUUUAUUCUGGCAUCAUGUGAAACUGCUCAAGCUAUUUUGCAGUGACUGAAACUGAGGAUAGCCUUUAGCUUUAAAUGUUUAGGUUUAAACCUAAUGGAAUAAUUAGAUUUCCAUUACAAUCAAAAUGAAAUGCCAUACAAUAAAUGGCAAAAACCCAGAGGAUAAUAUUUGACCUUUAUUAUGACCUCCAUAUAAAUCCAUCACAUUUUUAUGUAUUCCUGGAGUCUCAAGGAAUGUACAUUACUGGAUGCAAUGUUAAAUUGAAAAUGUCUUCAAUAAAAUUAGUAAUUCCG